rnacentral:lncRNA from 1 species
GCUCAACAAUUCUGCCUGAACGGGGACAAGGAUGAGAAAUCCUCCUCAAGAACACCUGUAAUGAUGCAAGAAUGAUAUGUGUAUGAUGCGUAUGCUAUGUUUUAUCAUGAAUAAACCUGAAGAAUGAUAUGCAUAUGCGUUUUAACUCUUUUUUCUUUUUUUUAUGCAUUAUUUUUUUUGAAAAUAAACAUGCUAUGAUGCAAAAUGAUG